GUCAUUGUUAAAAACAUAAUUUUGAUAAAGAGAUACUUUUACCGUCUUAAGUUAAGAUUAGGUACUUUUAUUUUGAAACUUCACGAUGCACGUUAGAUGCAUCCGUUGCUGAAUAACAGACGAGAGAGAAUGAAGGUGAUAUUUUUUUAUGCAUGUGCUAGAUUUAGUUGUUUUCUGGAGGAGCUGAACCUCGUGAUGAUUAAGUUCAUGAAGACACUUAAGUUUUUGGAACAUUUAAUAAAAGGACUGUGAACAUUUGAAUGGUACUUGAUGAAGACGGGUGCCGAAUUCAUCAAGUUUUGUUGCAACCCUGUUUCGGUCAAGUUUUUUGGUUGGAUUUGAAAAUCCUUGAAGAAGAUUCAUCGAUCUCAAUAGAUGGCGACUUUGGCAAGCCAACUCAGUUGAUUUCUGUCACUGAAUCCUGUCCACUGAAGGAGCCAGAUGCCCUAUCUGCUUUGUGGUAGGAUUGUACCUGUCACUCCACUGGUCAUCACUCUUCGGAUGGCCACAUACUGACUAUUGACUUGACUAACUGACUUUACACUUAAAGCGAGGAUUGGUCAACUUAAAGGACAAUUUAUUUUAUUUUCGAUUUGUACCUGAUUCAAUUAUACAAUUUGUUACUAAAGUCUAAGUAGCUUUAACCCUGGUGUGUGUCUGCCCAUUGCACUUGAACUCCCCUCCUCACGAAACUAGAGCGAAGGUGUCCUUACCCAGGAGUGGGUUACAAAUAGCUAACUACGCGACGAGGUAGGCUUCUUGUUAGCCAGCUCUAGUCAAUUAGGGUGCGUUAUAACUAGCUAAAGUUUCAUGAUGACACUGAUCCACCUGUCACUAUAUGCAAAUAGGCAAGAAUGGACGAAAGAGGACUUAGUGUUAAUUUUGAGCUUCUCUGUUAAUAUGUUUUGUUGAUGAGGAUACCUAUUAGCUGUCUUUAAACCAUCAGCUAAUGCUGGUUUCCACACAAGAAAAAUUACAAGAUCCAAAAAUCACAAUAUAGUUUGACGAGUCAAAGAGACAGAGGGGUGACCAAUCCUCUUC
ensembl:lncRNA